AGAGUUUGAUUAUGGCUCAGGAUGAACGCUAGCUACAGGCUUAACACAUGCAAGUCGAGGGGCAGCAUUGGAGUAGCAAUACUUCAGAUGGCGACCGGCGCACGGGUGAGUAACACGUAUCCAACCUGCCGCUUACUCGGGGAUAGCCUUUUCGAAAGAAAGAUUAAUACCCGAUGGUAUAAAGAGUUCGCAUGUUCUCUUUAUUAAAGAAUUUCGGUAAGCGAUGGGGAUGCGUUCCAUUAGAUUGUUGGCGGGGUAACGGCCCACCAAGUCUACGAUGGAUAGGGGUUCUGAGAGGAAGGUCCCCCACAUUGGAACUGAGACACGGUCCAAACUCCUACGGGAGGCAGCAGUGAGGAAUAUUGGUCAAUGGACGAGAGUCUGAACCAGCCAAGUAGCGUGAAGGAUGACUGCCCUAUGGGUUGUAAACUUCUUUUAUAAGGGAAUAAAGUGAGGGACGUGUCCCUUUUUGUAUGUACCUUAUGAAUAAGGAUCGGCUAACUCCGUGCCAGCAGCAGC
rnacentral:rRNA from 1 species